rnacentral:rRNA from 1 species
CCUACGGGCGGCAGCAGUGAGGAAUAUUGGUCAAUGGGCUUACGCCUGAACCAGCCGAGUCGCGUGAGGGAAGACUGCCCUAUGGGUUGUAAACCUCUUUUGCCGGGGGACAAAAGGCCGGACUCGUCCGGUCCUGAGGGUCCCCGGAGAAAAAGCAUCGGCUAACUCCGUGCCAGCAGCCGCGGUAAUACGGAGGAUGCGAGCGUUAUCCGGAUUCAUUGGGUUUAAAGGGUGCGCAGGCGGGCCUUUAAGCCGGCGGUGAAAUCGCGGGGCUCAACCCCGCCGAGCCGUCGGAACUGGGGGCCUUGAGUGCGGCGGAGGCAUGCGGAAUGCGCGGUGUAGCGGUGAAAUGCAUAGAUAUCGCGCAGAACCCCGAUUGCGAAGGCAGCGUGCCGUGCCGCCACUGACGCUGAGGCACGAAAGCGCGGGGAUCGAACAGGAUUAGAUACCCUUGUAGUC